rnacentral:rRNA from 1 species
UACGGAGGUCCCAAGCGUUGUUCGGAUUUACUGGGCGUAAAGGGUGCGUAGGCGGUGGGGUAAGUUUGAGGUGAAAGCUCCGGGCUCAACCCGGAAAAUGCCUUGAAUACUAUCCGGCUAGAGGGUUGGAGGGGAGACUGGAAUUCUCGGUGUAGCAGUGAAAUGCGUAGAUCUCGAGAGGAACACCAGUGGCGAAGGCGGCAGCCUGGGCUGCGACUGACGCUGAGGCGCGAAAGCUAGGGGAGCGAACGGG